rnacentral:lncRNA from 9 species
AUGAACCUGCUCCUCCUGUGGCUCCUGCAGUUUGGGGAGGAUCCUCGCCCAACUCACCUGCCUCUUGGAUUACGGGGAGAUUCUCCAAAAUUUGAUCUCUGGAGCCCAGCCUUUGAGAGAUGUCCCAGUGCCUCCCCAACACGGAGUGACCUCAGAGACGUCCUGCUGACACCACCUUCCUGGUUCUGCUGUCACCAGCUGACAGGUAACACGACAGGCCAUGAUGCCCAUUCUGAGCAAAAACCAAUCUGAGCCGAAUCGAGUGACCAAGUACAGCAGGGAGAGAGUGACAGCAUCCAGCACUCAUCUCACGCCCCUUAAGAACAAUGUUACCGCCCAGGGUGCUUGGGCUCCUUAAUCAAUAGAAACUGAUGAGAAGCCGGAUGGGAAAAUUCAGGCAAGGCUUUGAUGGAGCCCCUGUGGCAGCGGACGGGAGCAGAAACAAAGAACAGUUUCCCUUGCUCGCUCCCUGAGGUGAGGCCAGCUGCUUUCUACAUGGGUGAGGGUAGGAGCUGGUCCUAGGGUCUGGCGGGAGGGGGACUUAGUUGGUCUGCCCACCCCUUUGGUGGUGCUGUGGGGGGGGGCAUGGGUAGUACCUGCUUCAGCUUCCUUCAUGCAGCUUUUGUUCUGGGCUCUGCAGAAGCAACAGUUUGGUUUUUAGAUUUUUUGUAUCUUCUUGCCCAUAAUUUGCCCCAACUAUGCAUGUCUGAAGUUACUUUUAGUCCCGUAUAGGUUCUUUGUAUUUUGUUGCUCCAGAAGAUGUUUGUCCAAGUGCAAACUCUGCAGCCACUGCUGCAAAGGGUCCCUGGUCCCAGGUCCCAGCCCAGAUUUUGGUAAGGUCAGGAAUGGGGCCAAAACGGAAACGGCCAACAGCCAGCAGACAAAGAGCGUACUGGUGAUGCAGGAAGAAGGAGAGGGAGGAAAGAGGGGAUGGAGAGGGAGGUCAGUGGGAAAGGGGCGAGAAAACAAAACAGGUAAAGGCAAUGGCUGAGGGCCAAAGGUCCUUGGCACCUUCCCCCGAUGCAGGCUGACCAGGCCUCCUGGCUUUCCUCUACAGAGGGUGUUCACUUUAGGGUCACGAGUGGCAGAGGCUGAGAGUUCCCUUCGUGGCGCAGUGGAAAUGACUAGUAACCAUGAGGUUGCAGGUUUGAUCCCUGGCCUUGCUCACUGGGUCAGGGAUCCGGUGUUUCCCUGAGCUGUGGUGUGGGUUGCAGAUGUGGCUCGAUUCUGGCUUUGCCAUGGCUGUGGCGAAGGCCAGCAGCUGUAGUUCUGAUUAGACCCCUAGCCUGGGAACCUCCAUAUGUUGCAGGUGUGGCCCUGAAAAAAAAAAAAAGAAGGAGUUCCCGUUGUGGCGCAGUGGUUAACGAAUCCGACUAGGAACCAUGAGGUUGCGGGUUUGAUCCCUGCCCUUGCUCAGUGGGUUAACGAUCUAGCGCUGCCGUGAGCUGUGGUGUAGGCCACAGACGCAGCUCAGAUCCCACGUUGCUGUGGCUCUGGUGUAGGCCAGCGCCUACAGCUCCAAUUAAACCCCUAGCCUGGGAACCUCCAUAUGCCACGGGAGUGGCCCUAGAAAAGACAAAAAAAAAAAAAAAAAAAAUUAAAAAAUCUGGAGUUCCGGUCACAGUGCAGUGGAAACAAAUCCAACUAAGAACUAUAGGUUGCAGGCUUGAUCCCUAGCCUCACCCAGUAGGUUCAGGAUCUGGCAUUGCUGUGCGCUUCGGUGUAGGUUGCAGAUGUGGCUGGGAUCUGGCAUUGCUGCGCCUGUGAUGCAGGCCAGCAGCUGCAGUUUCAAUUUGACCCCUGGCCUGGAAACUUCCGUAUGCUGCAAGUGUGGUCCUAAAAAACAAAAAAUAAACCCCAAAAAAGUUUUCUUUCAGAAAUUUUCAUUAUGGGAGUUCUCCCUGUGGCACAGUGGGUUAAGAAUCUAACUAGAGCAGCUUGAGCUGCUGUGGAGGUAAGGGUUUGAUCCCAGUUCCAAAGCAGUGGGCUAAAGGAUCUGGCGUUAAACCAACUGUGGCUUAGGUUGCAGCUGCAGCUUGGAUUCAAUUCCUGGCAGAUGUCACAGCCUGUUGCCAUGGCUGUGGCCUAGAACUCAGCUGCAGCUCCAAUGCAACCCUUGGCCCAGAAACUUCCAUAUGCCACAGGUGCAGCCCCUAUAAAUUUUUUUAUUAUAGUAAAAUAUAGGCAUAAAAUAUAUUUAUUUCUUAAACAACA